UACGGGGGGGGCUAGCGUUAUUCGGAUUGAAUGGGCGUAAAGGAUGCGUAGGUGGAUUAUGCGAAGUAUGUUAAAAUUUUAUUAGUGAUAAUGAAAGGGUCGCGUACUAACCGCAGAGAAAGAGUUUAGUAGGGGUUGGGAGUAUUUUCAAAGGAGUAGUCCAAUGCGUCGAUAUUGAAAGGAAUACCGGCUGGCGUAGGCACCCUUCCAGGCUAGACUGACAUUGAGGCAUGAAGGCGUGGGGAGCAAACGGG
rnacentral:rRNA from 1 species